CCUGGAACUCGCUUGGUAGACCAGGCUGGCCUCCAACUCGCAGAGAUCAGUCAGCCUCUGCUCCUGAGUGCUGGGA
ensembl:miRNA